CCAAGCCGAUUCGGUUAUGGUAAGCUGAUUUAUUUUUACGGUUAAUUGGAUUGGUUACUUAUAUUGUGGCGAUGCUCUGGGAAGAAUACCUUUCUCAUUUCUUUUGUGUGUUAUAUGUUGCCAUAAGGUAUUGUAGAAAUAUUUCCCAUGCAGUAGUCAUGUCAGGUGCUGUUAGACUUGUAUGCAAGGCACAAUUAAAUUAAUAAUUUAAGAAGUGGGAUUAACAUUUUUAAAAUUGUCUAGCCGGUAGUGCUUUUAGUGUUGCUUGUGAGAAUCCUUACUGCAUGAAGGUGCUGAUCCCUCGCUUUAUAGUAGUUAUUACAUUCUAUGUGAUUUGCUUGGGUUAUUAGUUUCGAGUGAAUUUAAAAUUAGUGCGGUAAACGUGUAAUCGACAAAAACUCGGAUUCGUAUUCGUUAAUCAAUGUAGUGAAUCUGAGCUAAAUUUAUUAUUGGCGCGCAAGUUGUAGCCGAUUUGUUAGAUAGAUUAAAUAAAUAUGUGUGAUGCGAAAUAAAAUUAAAUUAGUUCUUGGUAAGCAAAGUGGUAUAAUUUAUAAAGCGAGGGAUAAAUUUAGCAUUUAACUGAUUAGUUGAUGAGUUGUGUUUAGGCUAAUUAUGUUUAAUGUGUAUGGUUUAUUGUUCAUGAUGUUUGCCUUAGGUUCGUUUAAUUUAGAGAAGCGUAAUUAUUACGCUUAGUCGUAUAUCGAUAACUAGUGUUUCUAUAUAAAAUGGUAUGACGCUUCGUCACUAGGUGUUUAAUUCGCUAUCGCGUAGCACUAUUUAGGUUUGUAAUAUUCCUGUCUAUAUGCAUUCAUGUGCAUAAUGCAUUUUAUUCAGGUACGUGAAUUAACCACGUGAUGCGGAGAACCAGAACUGAGUCGACCAUAAGAUAUCGCUACGCGUGAGCUUCUCCAGAAGAUGAAGCUGAUGAACUAAACUGAAGAUGGACAAACGAAACAAGUAUCAGAACAAAAGUUGAUCGCCAAGUGGACGACAUCUAACAACACUAACCUAGUGUUAUUCAGGCAAGCCCCGGUGCAUUUGCCACCUCCUUGCGGUUUUAAAAUCUUUUAUCACCUUGUUUGAUGCACUAGGUGAUAGGAGUUGUGUGCUAAACCAUUGAUGCAUUUCUUUCCUUGAAAAAUUGAUUACCCUU
rnacentral:lncRNA from 1 species